rnacentral:lncRNA from 1 species
CGUCCUGAGCUGCCGCGAGUCCUGGGCGAAGAUCCCAGGUUGUUAUGAGGUGAGCUUGAUAGGGAAUUCAUUCUUGAUUCCGACCAUAUAACAAUGCAAUGCAUCAAUCUUUUGCGACCAUAUUUGCAGCUUAUUAAUCAUCAAUACUGUACUAGUAUGUGACUACACUGUAUGCAACUCAGGGAAUCAGGAUCUAUUCAUACACCGAGAGCUCGAUGGAUCUGCUGCGUGUCUGGCCUCUCAUGAGGGGAAUCUUGUAGGCACUGAAACGCCACCGAUAUUAGCCGAUUGAUAUCCCGCGCCUCGUCGGUCUUGGGCGUGGGAAGACGGUGGUCGAGAUGCUCUUGAAGUAUCAUGUCUUGUUCUUGCGCAGCUGCAGGUCUGUUUAGGAAUUCUCCUGGAUGCUUCCCCAUCAGCACCUCCAGCAUCACAACGCCGAGGCUGUAGACAUCGCAUUUCUCGGUGACCAAGGGCGUGUAAGAAAGUUCUGCAUCAAGCAAGGAAGCAUAGUUACAAGGGAUUGUUUUUGAAGGAGCUAUGUAAUUAACCAACAGCUUGCACUGGGGUAGUCAGGUUACCUGGUGCGAUGUAGCCGUAUGUCCCCGCCAGUGCGGUCCAGUUCGAUGAAUCGGGCUUCAAUAUCCUUGCCGUGCCAAAGUCCGAGACAAAGGCAUUGUAUUCAGAAUCUAGCAAAAUGUUGCUACUUGUUAUGUCCCGAUGGAUUAUAGGUGGAUCACAACCAUGGUGUAGGUAGGAAAUAGCUUGCGCAACAUCCUUGAUGAGAACUGCUCUUUUCUGCCAAUCAAAUUGGAUUGCUUGGUCGUUGUUGCUCAGGAUUGAGGCUAGACUCCUCCUUUCUAUGUAUUGGCAAACCAGGAACCUGUACUGCGUAUGGGAACAGAAUCCAUACAGCUUGACAAUGCUGCGCUGACGGACUUUUGUUAGUACUUCAAUCUCACGACGAAAGCAUUGCUCAUCAUGCAUCCCUUCCUCAAUAGGAUGAAGCUUCUUCACUGCAACCACUUGUCCAUCUGGGAGAUCCACCUUGUAGACAUUACCAAAUCCCCCCCUUCCAAUGCAAUGUUUUUCAUCAAAAUUAUCCGUUGCAUUGAUGAUAUCCUCAAAAGCUAUUUUACCAUCGAAGUUCCAUAUGGAGAAGAGGUCCGCUCUCUUUACAAUGGCACUUUCUCUAGAAGAGGAUUUCUUCCUCAAAAUCAAAGUGAAGAAGAUGCAUGCAGCUAUACAAGUAAUAGCCACAAAAACAGGGAUACCCACUUUUAACAUGAAGAUUUGGUUCUUUUUCUGAUGAUUUGCAGCAGAAGAAUGACAAGACGGAAGGCCAGCCAGCUCCCCGCAGAGACCUCUAUUGUGAAUAAACCAUUCUGCCGAGGAAUUAUGGAUCCUUCCCGGAACUGUGCCUUGUAAUCUGUUGUAGGACACAUCAAAUACGGACAUGCUUCGGAGUCCUGCUACCGUGUCUGGAAUGCUUCCACUGAAUUGAUUGUGGGAGAGGUUUAUGCUUACCAACAUAUCUAGAUUUCCUAUUUCUGGAGGAAUGGCACCAUGUAGGCUGUUAUGGCUGACAUCAAGGGUUGUCUGUAGGUGAAUCAGUUUGCCUAUGGAACCAGGAAGGCUGCCGUUUAAGCUGUUGUUGUUCAGUUUCAUGGACUGUAGUCUCGCACAUUUCCCAACUUCUUCUGGUAUUCUUCCAUCUAGUUGAUUGCUUGACAGGUCGAGAACCUCAAGAGCAUCCAUUUGACCAAUGUUUUGAGGAAUGCAUCCAGAUAUAUUAUUUUGGCUCAAGUCUAGCAAAUAUAGGUUGACUAGUUUGCCAAUUUCAGGAGGUAUCUCCCCUGUCAACCUAUUCAAAUGGAGGUCGAGUUUUCUGAGUUUGGUUAGCUUUGUGAGCUCACGAGGUAUAUGACCAGUAAUCAUGUUUCCUCCUAAACGCAGUUCUGUCAAGUUACCGCAUGAACCCCAGUCUGUUGAAAGCUGACCGUGCAGUUUGUUUGAAGUUAACCCAACAAAUUUCAGAUGUGGGUACACCCCAAGCUGUUGUGCUAUAUCUCCAUCCAUCUGAUUAUACAUGAUGUCGAGGAUGAUUAAGGAGCAGCAGUCCUUGAAACUUCCUGGAAAGGAUCCACUAAAUUGGUUGGUAGUUGCGGAAAACCAUUGGAGUUUUUUGCCCUGGCAUAAGUCAGGCACGUGUCCGCUGAGAUUGUUGUAACUCAACUCAAUGUCCACUAAAUUGGUGAGGUUUGAAAAUGUGUGAGGCAAAGGUCCAGACAGUCUAUUGCCUGACAGCCUCAAAUCUGUCAUUUCCCUGAAGUUUCCAAAGCUUGGAGGGACCGAGCCAGAGAACUUGUUGAAGUAGAGGUAAAGAUUCACUAAAUUCCCUAGAUUGCCUAGCUCAGCUGGGAUUGUGCCAGAAAAGCUAUUGUUUUGAAGGCGAAGGGAGGUGAGGGAAGUCAUGUUUCCCAUGCUAGAUGGCAGAUCACCAUCUAAAGCAUUGGAGGAGAGGCUAAGCUCCUGAAGGUUUGCAAGAUUCCCUAGCACAUAAGGAAUGGACCCAGACAAGUUGUUCUCGUACAGGUACAGAUAUGUGAGCAUUGUCAAAUUUCCGAGACUCAAAGGAAUGCUCCCGGUAAGUUUAUUACCGAAAAGGUAGACCUCACGAAGAUCAGUGAGUGAUCCUAUUUGUUCAGGAAGGUGGCCACUUAAGUUGCUCCUGCUGGCUCCUAGCAGUUGCAACUUGGUUAAGUUUGUGAUUGCUGCAGGGAUUGUGGACGUGAAUUGAUUGUGUGAUAUCAUGAGCACGGUAAGAUUAAUAAGGUGUGUCAUCUCGUGAGGAAUGGGACCAAUAAGCAAGUUUUGGGUCAGUCCUAAGUAGCCUAGUUUAGUAAGGUUUCCAAUGCUGCUCGGAAUAGUACCGGUCAGAUAGUUAUCAGCCAAAUCUAGCUCUUCCAAAGCAGCGAGUUUCCCGAGCUCUACGGGGAUUGAACCAGUAAGAUGGUUUGUGAACAGACUUAAAUCUCUGAGCAAUGUUAGGUUGGUGAGGGAAGGAGGAAUAAUUCCAGUUAAGUUGUUAUGGUAUAACCGGAGACUUUGCAAGGACUGAAGCCUGCCAAUGUUUGCAGGAAUGGUACCUGUGAGGCCAUUGAAGGAGAGGUCCAUCACGGUGAGGCUCCCCAGCUCACCGAUGGCCGGAGGUAUGCCUCCGGUGAGCUGGUUACCGGAGAAGUUGAGCAUGGAAAGCAUGGGGAGCAUGCCGACGGUCGGUGGAAUCCGUCCUGAGAGGUGGAAGUUGUUGCUGAUGUCAAGGCUGGUGAGCAAGGACAGGGGCUGCAAGUUGAGCACGUCCAGCCGCCCGGCAAGGCCAGCUCCUGGGAGGGAGAUCCCAGUGAUGGCCGGGCCUUGAGCUGCACGGCGGCAGGUGAUGCCCGUCCAGUUGCAGGGGUGGACGCCGGGGCUCCAGGUGCUCAAGGCUGAACCGCUGCUGAUGCUUGUCAGGCUGGAUUUCCAUCGGAGCAGCGCUGCUAUCUGGGCUGUGAACCAAGUGCCUCGCCGUGCUGCGGCCUUUGCCUCACCGAACAUGGAAGGGAGAAGCAGCAGGAUGGCGAGGAGAUGGAGCCAUGGUCACCCUGAGGCAGGAGUAGCCAUGGAUUCGACAAGUUCUGUCGGUGGUACUAUGUGGUAGAGAGUUGAGAGAAAGGCGUGGUAGAGAGUUGAGAGAAAGGCCACCGCUGCUCCGGAACAUCCACGGCUUGGCUGACUUCAUGAUUAGGUAGGAACAUCCAGCGCGUUUUCCUGUGUGAUUGAAUAAAAAAAAUAGUACUGUAGUUGCCAACGUCCCGGGCAUGUGUUCCGUACCGCACUCAAGAGAAUAAAAUAAAGUCUUGGAGUGAUUAUUCUAGUUUGUGUUAGCAACGGCUUAUAAUCAAUUGAGCGUGUUGUUGUCAUCCCUUUCGUUUCACUAUGAGCGCGUUAGCAACGAUUUAUAAGUAAUUAUUAGGCAGUUUAUAAUUACAGUUUUACUAUUUUUCAGAUGUCUGUUUUUAAAUUCGGCUCUAGCCGUUUUUCUGUCCGUCGGAUUCACACGAAUCUCUGCGUGUUGGUUUGUCCUCGGUCUCCGCGUACCAGGUCGUUGUGGCUUUUUUAUUGUUGGGUUUUUCGGGUUCGUGUGUCUNNNNNNNNNNNNNNNNNNNNNNNNNNNNNNNNNNNNNNNNNNNNNNNNNNNNNNNNNNNNNNNNNNNNNNNNNNNNNNNNNNNNNNNNNNNNNNNNNNNNNNNNNNNNNNNNNNNNNNNNNNNNNNNNNNNNNNNNNNNNNNNNNNNNNNNNNNNNNNNNNNNNNNNNNNNNNNNNNNNNNNNNNNNNNNNNNNNNNNNNNNNNNNNNNNNNNNNNNNNNNNNNNNNNNNNNNNNNNNNNNNNNNNNNNNNNNNNNNNNNAACGCUCCUGAUUUUUUUUGCAGGCACAUAUCCACGCAAUUCAUCAGUUUAGUAAAUGGGAAUCCAUCUGUUUAGUAAAUGUUCAGUGCUCUUAGCUCUUUAUGUUUCUCAUUCUUCAAGCCUACAUCAUUCUUUAGUCAUUCAGUCCUGAGAUUUUAGUUAUAUAUCAGCCUUCAAACAGUUUUUUUUUCAGUUAUCAGUGUACUUCAUUUUACUUUUUCGUUGUUGUUCAGUGUUGGGUCUUUUCUUUAUUUUCUGUCUUUCAGCUUUCAUUUGUUCAUUUUUUCGGUCAUUCUGAAAUUCAGCUUCCAAAAUCUUUGGCUCUCAUUUUAUUAAUAUUUCAUUAGUUGAUAACUGCGUGUUCUCUCUUCAGUUUCAGUAUUUCAGUUUUAGUAGUUGUUCAGAUCGUCGUCACAUCUUCUGUUAGUCUAAAUUCUGUAGCAUGUUUAGUAACAGUCAAUGUUCAGAUAGUUGACUCAGCAGUCAAUGUUCAGAGAGCAUCAGUAUCUUCAGUUCAUUCUAGUGUUUCUUCACUCUUCUUUUUUGCGUUUUCCGGUGUCUCUUUUUUCUGAAAACUGAUCGCUGGAAGUUCAUCUUUGCUAUACAUUGGCAUCAAGGACCCAAGUGUAGUAUUUGUAGCCAACUUCAGGAUUCAAUAUCUGUACUCAAGUAUUCAGUUUCAGGUUUAAGUUUUAGUAGUGUAGUCUUUGUACCCAAGUUCUUCAGGUUUCAGUUUCUUAAAAAGUAGCGGCAUCAGUUUCUGGUUCCAGUAGGUGUCAUUUUCUGGUUCCAGUAGCGGCAUCAGUCGACGGUAGGUGUUAUUUUCAGGUUUCAGUAUGUGUCUUUUUCUGUUUUUCAUUUUAGUCAUGGACACUUAAUUAUGGUGUCACAUAGGCAGCACCCAUGCUAUUCAUUCCUGAAAGAAUAACAGCACCGAUGUAUCUUUUUCAAAACUCAUGUGUGUGGUUAGUAGCCAGUUUGAACCUAUUAAUUAAGUAAGCUAUCAGUGUAUUUUUUUAGUUUGUGCAUUAUAAUUGUUAUCUUAGUAUAUCCAGCGGAUGAUCAAUUAUCAGAAUUAUUCAUUCACUCAGGUUUCAUCCCGCUGGGUUCAAGUGUAUUGUUGUUCUGUCUUUUCUAAGACUUAUCAAUUUAAAUUCAGUCUUUGCAGGAAGGUGAUCACAUUUUUUCUUGAGUUCUUCUCUGCCAAGUAGAAUAGCAAGGGCACAAGCCUUGUUCUGUUUUUCAAUCGAGCUAAAUUUUGCUGGCCUUUGUUACCUGAGAUGAUUCCCCUUGGGGCGGCUCCGGGCGGCUGUGCUUCAGUUUUUAUGAUUUCAGUCUUGUUUCAUUUAGUUGAUCAGUGUCCCAACAUCAGUCUUGUGGUUGAGUCACUUAUUUUAGACUGUAGUUGAUUCACUCAUUUAAGCUUGGGCAAAAAGAGCUUCACUAGGACCGAGUACAACACCGCAACCGAUGGUCGGAUCUUCUUCAAGCAUGGAUGGAAGAAGUUUCUUACGAGGACUGGACUUGAGGUUGGAGCGGAUGUGUUAAUAAAAUGCAAGACAAAGGUCAGCAAUAAGCUCGAGAUGAUUGUUCUUAGUCUAUUGUUCAAUCAAUGUUUAUUAUUAUCAGUCAUUUUCUUAUAAUAGUUGACUCACCACCAGUCAAUGUUCAGAGAGCACACAUAAUUGUUCUAUUUACCAUUCAUGAGUUUUACUCAUCGUUCAGCCUUUCAGAUGAUAUUAUCUUCUUUCUUAUCUUUUCAUUUUCUUUUAUUUAUUCCUUUUGGCCCAAGCAUUAGUUAGGUAAGUAGACAGUCCUUCAUUAUAUGUCCAUCUUCCAUUCUUCCUACUCCCUUUAGUUUCCCCGGUUAUUUACGUUUCUUUUUUCUGAUUUUUGUUUAGUGGCUUUUGUCAGUGGCACAAGUUUACUUCUAAAGUUUGUUUUAGUGAUAUGCAUGUAUCCUUAGCGAUGAUUACAUAGACUUUUUUAGUAGAUGUUUGCUCCGUCUUUGGUUUCCCGCAUACACCCGG